rfam:Rattus norvegicus chromosome 11, whole genome shotgun sequence.
AGCUUUGCGCAGUGGCAGUAUCAUAGCCAAUGAGGUUUAUCCGAGGCGCGAUUAUUGCUAAUUGAAAAAUACUGGAAAAUAUUUUUAUUAAUUAACUAUAUUGAAAAUCCAUAAGAUUUAAAAGAAAAUAUCUGUAAACUGCUUUCAUU